UUACCACUUUGUGAUUCAUGACUGGGGUGAAGUCGUAACAAGGUAACCGUAGGGGAAGCUGCGGUUGGAUCACCUCCUUACCUUAAAGAA
rnacentral:rRNA from 1 species